ACGAACGCUGGCGGCGUGCUUAACACAUGCAAGUCGAACGGAAAGGCCCUGCUUUUGUGGGGUGCUCGAGUGGCGAGCGGGUGAGUAACACGUGAGUAACCUGCCCUUGACUUUGGGAUAACUUCAGGAAACUGGGGCUAAUACCGGAUAGGAGCUCCUGCUGCAUGGUGGGGGUUGGAAAGUUUCGGCGGUUGGGGAUGGACUCGCGGCUUAUCAGCUUGUUGGUGGGGUAGUGGCUUACCAAGGCUUUGACGGGUAGCCGGCCUGAGAGGGUGACCGGCCACAUUGUGACUGAGAUACGGCCCAGACUCCUACGGGAGGCAGCAGUGGGGAAUAUUGCACAAUGGGCGGAAGCCUGAUGCAGCAACGCCGCGUGCGGGAUGACGGCCUUCGGGUUGUAAACCGCUUUCGCCUGUGACGAAGCGUGAGUGACGGUAAUGGGUAAAGAAGCACCGGCUAACUACGUG
rnacentral:rRNA from 1 species